GACGAACGCUGGCGGCGUGCUUAACACAUGCAAGUCGAACGGAAAGGCCCUGCUUUUGUGGGGUGCUCGAGUGGCGAACGGGUGAGUAACACGUGAGUAUCCUGCCCUUGACUUUGGGGUAACUUCAGGAAACUGGGGCUAAUACCGGACAGGAGCUCCUGCUGCAUGGUGGGGGUUGGAAAGUUUCGGCGGUUGGGGAUGGACUCGCGGCUUAUCAGCUUGUUGGUGGGGUAGUGGCUUACCAAGGCUUUGACGGGUAGCCGGCCUGAGAGGGUGACCGGCGUCAUGGGGACUGAGAUACGGCCCAGACUGCUACGGGAGGCAGCAGUGGGGAAUAUGGCACAGUGGGCGGAAGCGUGAUGCAGCAACGCCGCGUGCGGGAUGACGGCCUUCGGGUUGUAAACCGCUUUCGCCUGUGACGAAGCGUGAGUGACGGUAAUGGGUAAAGAAGCACCGGCUAACUACGUG
rnacentral:rRNA from 1 species